rnacentral:rRNA from 1 species
GUGAGGAAUUUUCCGCAAUGGGCGAAAGCCUGACGGAGCAAUGCCGCGUGAAGGAUGAAGGCCUAUGGGUUGUAAACUUCUUUUCUUAGAGAAGAAUAUUGACGGUAUCUGAGGAAUAAGCAUCGGCUAACUCUGUGCCAGCAGCCGCGGUAAGACAGAGGAUGCAAGCGUUAUCCGGAAUGAUUGGGCGUAAAGCGUCUGUAGGUGGCUUCAAAAGUCUCCUGUCAAAGAUCAGGGCUUAACCCUGGGCCGGCAGGAGAAACUCUGAGGCUAGAGUUUGGUAGGGGCAGAGGGAGUGCCCGGUGGGGCGGUGAAAUGCGUAGAGAUCGGGAGGAACACCAAAGGCGAAAGCACUCUGCUGGGCCACAACUGACACUGAGAGACGAAAGCGAGGGGAGCAAAAGGGAUUAGAAACCCUGGUAGUCC